CAAAGCAUUUAGCUUUCACUUUGUUUAUCAAAUGUAACACGUUUGUUGGCAAGCGGAAUAUUAUGAUGUCAUAAUGAACAUAAACUGCUACAAUGGUGGAAGGCAAAAACUAUUGCUCUCUCAACGUAUACAGAAAUGUCACUGCUUGGAAUCGAACUCGGAAUCUUAGCCCGCGCUCUUAACCACUACGCCAUAUGCCGAAUUGAAUAAAUACCCACAUAUAUGUAUGCUUUUUCCAAUGUCAAUUAAUAAAUUCAGCGAAAUAUUG